AAUAGAUACCCAGGUAGUCCACCCCGUAAACGUUGGGAACUAGUUGUGGGUCCUUUCCACGGAUUCCGUGACGCAGCUAACGCAUUAAGUUCCCCGCCUGGGGAGUACGGCCGCAAGGCUAAAACUCAAAGGAAUUGACGGGGACCCGCACAAGCGGCGGAGCAUGCGGAUUAAUUCGAUGCAACGCGAAGAACCUUACCAAGGCUUGACAUACACCAGAACACCCUAGAAAUAGGGGACUCUUUGGACACUGGUGAACAGGUGGUGCAUGGUUGUCGUCAGCUCGUGUCGUGAGAUGUUGGGUUAAGUCCCGCAACGAGCGCAACCCUCGUUCUAUGUUGCCAGCACGUAAUGGUGGGAACUCAUGGGAUACUGGCCGGGGUCAACUCGGAGGAGGGUGGGGAUGACGUCAAAUCAUCAUGCCCCUUAUGUCUUGGGCUUCACGCAUGCUACAAUGGCCGGUACAAAGGGCUGCAAUACCGUGAGGUGGAGCGAAUCCCAAAAAGCCGGUCCCAGUUCGGAUUGAGGUCUGCAACUCGACCUC
rnacentral:rRNA from 1 species